rnacentral:rRNA from 1 species
UGCGUAGGCGGCCGUGCAAGUCGGGUGUGAAAUCCCUCGGCUCAACCGAGGAACUGCGCCCGAUACUGCUCGGCUAGGGGGAGACAGAGGUGAGCGGAACUUGCGGUGGAGCGGUGAAAUGCGUUGAUAUCGCAAGGAACACCCGUGGCGAAAGCGGCUCACUGGGUCUCUUCUGACGCUGAGGCACGAAAGCUAGGGGAGCGAACG